AUGACGUCCGGGUCCUGGUGCGCGCCGUGGGGCCGGGGCGGCGGGGUCCAGUCUCGCGGCGAAAGCGGCGGCGGCCGGUUCAGCGUCUUCACGGCGAUCCUCCCGUCGCUGGGCGCGCAGCACAGCCACAGCUUCAGACGGACCAGUGUCCGGCGCUGGGUCGUGUCCCCCUACGACCCUCGCUACCGGCUGUGGGACAGCUACCUCGUCUGCCUCGUGCUCUACUCCGCGUGGGUGUCCCCUUUCGAGUUCGGCUUCCUCCAGAACCCCCACGGCGCGCUGGCCAUCGCCGACAACACCGUCAACGUCUUCUUCGCCAUGGACAUCGUCCUCACCUUCUUCGUCGCCUACACCGACAAGAGGACCUACCUGCUCGUUGACGAGCCCGCCAAGAUCGCCUGGCGCUACGCCAGCACCUGGCUCGUCCUGGACGUCGCCUCCACCGUGCCCACCGAGCUCUCCCGCCGGAUCCUCCCUCCCGACCUCCGAACCUACGGCGUCUUCGGCAUGCUCCGCCUCUGGCGACUCCGGCGCGUCGGUGCCCUCCUGUCCCGCAUGGAGAAGGACCGCAAGUUCAGCUACUUCUGGGUCCGGUGCUCCAAGCUCGUGGCCGUAACGCUCUUCGCCGUGCAUUGCUCUGGGUGCUUCUACUAUCUCCUCGCCGACCGGUACCCGAACCCGGCCGAGACCUGGAUCAGCAUCUCCAUGCCGCACUUCCACACCGAGAGCCUUUGGAACCGCUACGUGGCGUCCAUGUACUGGUCCAUCACCACCCUCACAACUGUGGGCUACGGCGACAUGCACGCCGUCAACUCGAGGGAGAUGCUCUUCACCACCUUCUACAUGCUCUUCAAUCUCGGCCUCACCGCCUACCUCAUCGGCAACAUGACCAACCUCGUCGUCCACGGCACCAGCCGCACCAGGAAAUACAGGGACAAGAUCCAGGCGGCAACGAGCUUCGCGCAGCGGCACGAGCUGCCGAAGCGGCUGCAGGAUCAGAUGAUCUCUCACCUCAGCCUGAAAUUCAGGACGCACUCAGAGGGGCUCCAGCAGCAGGAGACGCUGGACGCGCUGCCCAAAGCAUUAAGGUCCAGCAUCUCGCACCACCUCUUCUUCGGGCUGGUCCAGAACGUCUACCUCUUCCAGGGGGUCUCCAAUGACCUCAUCUUCCAGCUGGUGUCUGAGAUGAGCGCCGGGUACUUUGCGCCGCGGGAAGACGUGAUACUGCAGAACGAAGCGCCCUCGGAUUUCUACAUCAUUGUCACUGGUAGUGUGGUAAAAAUGAUCACACUCUCUUCAUGA
rnacentral:rRNA from 1 species